UACAGGCUGUAUUGCUCGUACGACAUUAAGUUUUAACCUUUAAGCUGUAAAAGGGAGUUUAUUACGAAACGGAAAUGGCAUGCCGGGUUCCUAUAGAGCAGCCCGGACAUACAGGAACGUUUUCCGCAAACACCCACUUUGAGGAGUGGUGGUUUAAAACUUUCUAUGACUAAACUACGGCAAAGACGGCUUACAU
rfam:Sporosarcina sp. P33, complete genome.